AAGUCGUAACAAGGUUUCCGUAGGUGAACCUGCGGAAGGAUCAUUAACAAAUCAUUUUACUCUUUUCUGUGCUGUAAGGUACAGAAAAAGUAAUAUAUGCGCUUGUACCAGUGAUGGUGCAAAUGCAAAACGCUUUUAUUGUAUUAUUGUCAUAGUAUCUAUUAAUUUAAAAACAACUUUUAACAAUGGAUCUCUUGGUUCUG
rnacentral:misc_RNA from 1 species